rnacentral:lncRNA from 1 species
UGUUGAGUAAGAAACUAUUGUAAUUGAAUACAUGGUUGGUUGCAUAUGUUUCAGGAGACUAAUUAAUAGAAUAAGAAAAUACUAUUAAUAUCUGUAAAUUGUGUGAAGUAUAGAAUGGAAUAAGAACUGAUAUUAAAUGAGGAAAAUGUAGUUGUAAGAGAGUUAACUACAACGUGUGGCUUCUUCUAUUGAAGAAGUUAGUAAGAAAGCUAGUAGGAAAAAUAAAAAAAAAA